rnacentral:rRNA from 1 species
GACGAACGCUGGCGGCGUGCCUAAUACAUGCAAGUAGAACGCUGAAGGAGGAGCUUGCUUCUCUGGAUGAGUUGCGAACGGGUGAGUAACGCGUAGGUAACCUGCCUGGUAGUGGGGGAUAACUAUUGGAAACGAUAGCUAAUACCGCAUAAUAGCAGUUGUUGCAUGAUAACUGUUUGAAAGGUGCAAUUGCACCGCUACCAGAUGGACCUGCGUUGUAUUAGCUAGUUGGUGGGGUAACGGCUCACCAAGGCGACGAUACAUAGCCGACCUGAGAGGGUGAUCGGCCACACUGGGACUGAGACACGGCCCAGACUCCUACGGGAGGCAGCAGUAGGGAAUCUUCGGCAAUGGACGGAAGUCUGACCGAGCAACGCCGCAUGAGUGAAGAAGGUUUUCGGAUCGUAAAGCUCUGUUGUAAGAGAAGAACGAGUGUGAGAGUGGAAAGUUCACACUGUGACGGUAUCUUACCAGAAAGGGACGGCUAACUACGUG